ACAGGGUUAGUUUACAAAAAAAUAGAAGCUUGUCAUGCCUCAGAUGCUCUUGAAGAGCACUCUGUU
rnacentral:tRNA from 1 species